rnacentral:rRNA from 1 species
AGAGAGAGACAUGCGCGCAUAUCAAUAAGCGGAGGAAAAGAAACUAACUAGGAUUCCCUUAGUAACGGCGAGUGAAGCGGGAAGAGCUCAAAUUUGAAAUCUUCAAGGUUCUACCUUGACGAAUUGUAGUUUAAAGAAGUGUUUUCUGCUGGAAGUUUCGGUAAAAGUUCUUUGGAAUAGGACAUCAUAGAGGGUGAGAAUCCCGUAUUUGACCAUUAUUUUCAGCUUUGUGAUACACUUUCAAAGAGUCGGAUUGUUUGGGAAUGCAGUCCAAAAUGGGUGGUAAAUUUCAUCUAAAGCUAAAUAUUGGCGAGGGACCGAUAGCGAACAAGUACCGUGAGGGAAAGAUGAAAAGAACUUUGAAAAGAGAGUUAAACAGUACGUGAGAUUGUCAAAAGGGAAGCGUUUGACACCAGUGUUGUUUUUCUCGAAAAUCAAUUAAAAAUGGCUCGAUUUUGUAUUGCUUGAGACCUUAAAAGCUCACUGUACAUUUUUCGUGUCUUUUUUAAUGCACUUUUCGUUUAACAAGUCAACAUCAGUUUCUUUUGUUGUAAAAGGGUCAUUGGAAGGUGGCUUUCUUUUCGGAGAAAGUGUUUAUAGCCUUUGGCCUCUGCAAUCGGAGAGACUGAGGUCUGCAGCGUAGACUCUUCGGGGUUAGAUACAUUUGUGCUAAGUUAUAGCUUUUUAUAGACAACUUGUUGACUAUAAUUAGUCUUGUAGCUUACUCGCUUAUGCUAUUUUACCUACGCUUAGGAUGUUGAAGUCAUCGUAUCGCGC